rnacentral:rRNA from 1 species
CAAUAGCGUAUAUUAAAGUUGUUGCGGUUAAAAAGCUCGUAGUUGGAUUUCUGCCGAGGACGACCGGUCCGCCCUGUGGGUGAGCAUCUGGAUCGGCCUGGGCAUCUUCUUGGGGAACGUAGCUGCACUUGACUGUGUGGUGCGGUAUCCAGGACUUUUACCUUGAGGAAAUUAGAGUGUUUCAAGCAGGCGAUCGCUUGAAUACAUUAGCAUGGAAUAAUAGAAUAGGACUUUGGUUCUAUUUUGUUGGUUUCUAGGACCGAAGUAAUGAUUAAUAGGGACAGGUUGGGGGCAGUUAGUAUUUAAUUGUCAGAGGUGAAAUUCUUGGAUUUAUGAAAGACUAACUACUGCGAAAGCAUUUGCCAAGGAUGUUUUCUAUUAAUCAAGAACGAAAGUUAGGGGAUCGAAGAUGAUUAGAUACCAU